rnacentral:lncRNA from 1 species
GAAAAAUAAAAUAUAACCCCACCACAAAACAGACAAGAACAGCAGAGAAAUUUGUGUCCACCGUCUUCAAGACUUAGGAAAUGAGCAUCAUCAAAGAACAAACAAAAAAGUCCACAGCUCAAGUGUCAACAAGAGCCUGUUGCUGCCGCCGCCGCUGCCGAAUUUCAACUGCUUUGGACUGAAAAUGUCAUGAGCGUGGGUGGUGCCUUCGAUGUGUCACUGUUGAAUGACAGUCUUGUUUCCCAAGUGCAACCUGUGUUCUCUCAGCCUUCCUCCCUCCCUUCUGUUUUCUGCAGUGGUAGAUGUUUCCAUCCUCCCUGUGUUGGUAAAAGCCCACCCCGUCACACCCUCUGAGGGGGCUGCCCCAAUCUGCAAAGACCCAGACCUCCCACCCUCCCACACUGUCAGAGCCCCGCAAGCCCCACCGUUUUCUAGCUCCCUCAACCUGUGAAGCAUCUCUGGGUCCCAUCUUUCCCAGGGUCCCUCCAGUCCAUCUCCCCGGACAGAGCAAGGCCGUCAUCUCCCGUCCACAAUUCCCUGGGGUAGGUGUUCAGAUUGGUUCUCAUCGUGAGUGGGUAUCCCAAGAAAGUCAGGUGUCCUGCCAGUUCCGUUUGUUUGGUGGAAGCCCAAAGAGGGGAGUUGACAGAGAAGAGAUUUUCAUUUACAGCGGGACGUUUUCAGCCCGUCCCUAAAGGGCUUAGCUGAUGAGCAGGAACCUGGGAGAGGCCCCGAGCUCUUCCGGUAUCGGGAGCUGCACCUGGUCUAGUCCUGCAAGACUCUUCCUGGAAUGCUGGACGGCAUUCUGCCUUCCCUACUCUCUGCUCGCACAUCGGGGCAGGGAAACCAGCCGGGAAUGCUCUUUCUUACUCCCUGCUGAUCUGGGGACGUUGACCGUGCAUUUUCUCGCUCUGGGCUUUACUCUCCCAUCUGAAACAUGGGGAACUGGGGUGAGAUCGAGCUUUUCAGGCUUUUUGGAAUAGCAAAACCUCUGCCCAUUUUUUUUUUUUUUUUUAAAGCGAAAGACCCUCUGUAAGAUCCCUGUGUAUAGGAGGGUCUGUGCUGGAUGAAGUAGGGGUGGGAGAUUUAGUGCCCGCUUUCUCAGCUGCUUGGCUGAAACCCCACCUCUCCUCACUGUGGAGUAAACUCCCCUGGGUUUGGUCAGUGUUUCCUUGAUGUUAUCUGUGUACCUGCAGCACAUGUCCAGCAUCUCUGUGUGCCACUGUCACAGUAUUUGUACCUAAAUCAAUUCAUUUCUCACACAUUUAACUUUGGAAAGGAAAACUUUCCACCAUUAUGGCAAAUAGCAAACCAAUAUCAGUCCCUCUAAAAGGAAAGUAAGUAUAAAAUCAGUACCAAAGUAACAGUGCAGCCGUUGUUCUGUUCUAGCCUCAGGCUAUUGACCAUGGAAGGGUUUGAAGCUGAAGCCUGGCAUUUGCUCCCUUCAUUCUCUCCCCUUCUCUUCCUUCCCUGCCUUCCCUUUCUUUCCCUCUCCCCUUAUCUUUAUUAAAAACAGAUUAGCAGAUAUUAAAGAGUUGUUAAAGACAUACUGGCACUCCAUGAAAACUUUCUCCUUGAAGUAAUCAAAUGGACGGAUGAAAAUGAAAAAAGAAUCAUUUCUUAUGUGACUCCAUAUUCAUCAGUGCUCUAUCCGUGUAUUUAUGACUCAAAAAUCUCCUCGCAUCGGCAAGUGGUACACAGCGCAAACUUCAGGAAAUACUGGGUGGGCUUGUCCGUGAGGUUCCAUCCAGCACAUAAGUUCUAUAAUUCUAGUCUCCCUUUUAGCUCCCUUCCGCUCCUAGCCCUCCAUCCCCUUCGCCUGACCUUUAUCCCAGCCCUGAUUAAGGACCUUCUUGAUCUCUGAAUCUAGGGGAUUUAUUCUUCGUGUUCCGUCUCUUCUGAGUAAACUUCAUGCAGUGGGUUUUAUUAGCUGGAGCUCUGCAGCUAGAAUUUGGGCAGCAGAGUUGCAGCGUGGUCCAUAAGAUGUAGCAGUGUUGAGAGUCCCAAGAAGAACAGUACUUCUCAGCCUCGUUACCUUUCUGUUGGCUAUGGGAGCUGAACUGAGGUGGGGGAGGGCUUGGACACGGAAGUUGAUUCUUUGGCUUCUUCUAGGGAGGGUGGACAGACAUCGUGAGACUGAAAGUUGAUCAUGAAAGAUGUCCUGGGGAACUGUGACUGCCGUGUAUCAGCAAGGAUUGUUUAGCUAGAAUGGAGGGACUUAGAAGAGAGAAGUCAGAACAAUGUAGGGAGACUUUCCCUUCCCCAUCUCAUGCCCUGGCAGUAGCCUCUUCGUCUUCUCUUUAGCUACCCGCCCAACUUCCAACCCAAAGGGCCCAGAGUCUGACUGCCCUUUGCCCUCCCAGAGCGUCUCAGCCUCCACCUGCCUUGGGCUCCGCCUGGCAUCCCCCCACCCUCAAACUCCCCCCAGUUUUUUGUGUAAAUGGAGCAUAUUUUAUGUGCGAAUAUUUUAGUAACCAUAUGUUCUGCAAGUAAACCUGUGUUAAUACUUGUCAACAACUGCAGAGUUUAUGAUACCAAUAAUACUUCCUACAAUGAAGAGAAAAAAAAAAAAACAUUUGUUUGUUUUCUAAGAAUGUUUAUUUGUAAACAUAUGUAUUCACUAUAUUAAUAUGAAUUUCUUACCUGGCAAUAAAACUGAUUAU